rnacentral:rRNA from 1 species
UACGGAGGAUGCGAGCGUUAUCCGGAUUUAUUGGGUUUAAAGGGUGCGUAGGCGGGCUUUUAAGUCAGCGGUAAAAAUUCGGGGCUCAACCCCGUCCGGCCGUUGAAACUGGGGGUCUUGAGUGGGCGAGAAGAAGGCCGAAUGCGUGGUGUAGCGGUGAAAUGCAUAGAUAUCACGCAGAACCCCGAUUGCGAAGGCAGCCUUCCGGCGCCCUACUGACGCUGAGGCACGAAAGUGCGGGGAUCGAACAGG